rnacentral:rRNA from 1 species
AGUGAACGCUGGCGGUAGGCCUAACACAUGCCAGUCGAACGGCAGCACAGUAAGAGCUUGCUCUUACGGGUGGCGAGUGGCGGACGGGUGAGGAAUACAUCGGAAUCUACUUUUUCGUGGGGGAUAACGUAGGGAAACUUACGCUAAUACCGCAUACGACCUACGUGUGAAAGCAGGGGAUCUUCGGACCUUGCGCGAUUGAAUGAGCCGAUGUCGGAUUAGCUAGUUGGCGGGGUAAAGGCCCACCAAGGCGACGAUCCGUAGCUGGUCUGAGAGGAUGAUCAGCCACACUGGAACUGAGACACGGUCCAGACUCCUACGGGAGGCAGCAGUGGGGAAUAUUGGACAAUGGGCGCAAGCCUGAUCCAGCCAUACCGCGUGGGUGAAGAAGGCCUUCGGGUUGUAAAGCCCUUUUGUUGGGAAAGAAAAGCAGCAGGUUAAUACCCGGCUGUUCUGACGGUACCCAAAGAAUAAGCACCGGCUAACUUCGUG